CUUGUUUUUGGGAAAACUGGGGGAGGCAUUUUUUUCGGAGUUUCUGAGAGGAAGUUUGAGUAAGUUGUUCGUUGUGUUUGCACGUAGAUCCGGAUAGAGGUUCGGUGAGAUUUUGGUUGAUAUCGGAUGAGGUCAGCUCAGGUUGGAAGAUAAAGGCAAAAAAAUAUGUAAUUGGUUGUUGGACUAGUUUUUGUUAGAUCAAUUAUUGUAUUUAGGAUA